GGAGUUUGGACCGUGUCUCAGUUCCAAUGUGGGGGACCUUCCUCUCAGAACCCCUACUGAUCGAGGGCUUGGUGGGCCGUUACCCCGCCAACAACCUAAUCAGACGCAUCCCCAUCCUAUAGCGGUAAACCUUUGUUCCAUUUUAGAUGUCUGCAUUGGAAAACAUAGAGUAUUAAUCCGACUUUCGCCGGGCUAUCCUCUACUAUAGGGAAGGUUGGAUACGCGUUACUCACCCGUCGCGCCGGUCGCCAUCACAGAUAGCAAGCUACCUGCAUGCUGCCCCUCGACUUGCAUGUGUUAAGCCUGUAGCUAGCGUUCAUC
rnacentral:rRNA from 1 species